AUCUCAUACAGCUGUUGUGAGAGUUAAGUGAGGUAAUGUUUAAAGAGAUUUCCUUCUGUGGACUUUCCUCUAAAGGAAAUUAACAAUAUUAACAAUAAAAAACAAAAAUGUGGUUUUUUGGUAAAGUAGAAAAAGGAAUUCAAAAUAGCAUGCCCCAGUAUUUGGGGGGCUCAGUGCCCUUGGGCAUGGGCUGCCACAGGUGGCUUGAGGGUGUUGAUAAUGUUCCAGAAAGGAUAAUGCUUCUAUUGCUGGAAACUCGGAUGGUGCUUCUACACCACAGGUCGGCCGGGCUUUCCCAGGAGCGCUGUGGAGUCACGUCCUAAGCGUUGAUGAAGCACCCGCAGGAGCCAGGCACCGCCUGGAGUUAGAGUUACAAACACCCGGAAGACUCGGUUCCUGAUGGCGAGGUGGAAGUUUGAAGAAAGGUGUGCCUGCUCAGAGGAAGGAGGACCUGACUGGAAGAGAAGAGAGGUCUUCAACCAGCUCCUGGCAGAUUCAGCUGGGUGUCCUGUAUUUCAUCUAACAACCAUAUCCUGGAGAGAACAAUGAAUCUGCCUGCUGCGGUAGAGGCUGAGGAUGGUGAAGAAGACAGCGGAAUGAUUAGGAAGGAUUUUGAAUGCCAAGUGGAGGAGUUUGAACUUCAUCUGAUAUCAGACGCAUGCUGGAGAGCUAGUGGGUUUUUGGCUAGGGAAUGACAGGGUCAGAUUCAUUUUGAGCAAUUUCCAGUUUUCUUUAACCAGUGCACCUGAGCAAGAGCACAUUAUCGUCACAAAGUAGCCUGCCACACUCUCAUUCACAGACACAUCAGCCACUUCUACCUGCUUUGCAGGUGAAAAACUGGCUAUUCCUGCCCAGGAACAUUAAGAGACUGUUUAUUUCAAUCAAUCAUUUUUCUAAAUACAUUAUCUCAUUCUAUAGCUGAAAAGUGGGAGGGGAGCAACAUCAAAGGAUUUACUUCAGCCCCAUCUAAGAAACCAAACACAUGCACCCCUUGUUCACCCUCCUCUGGUUGUCGCCCGUGGACCCAGAAGUCUCAGGCAUCUGACGCUCUGAAUGUCUGCCCAGAUGCCCAUCUCUGGAGAGAACAUGCUGAAAUGUUUGAGUUUGCACAGUUCAUUAAAUACCCUUCAGAAGAGCUCCCUGAUUCUCACAAAGGUCACCUUGGUUUCUUCUAGAGUCUGCAAAAAGUUAUCGACCACCUACGUGUGUCAAGUCCUCUCUUUGGCAGCAGACCACAGCAGGGAAGGAAUGAGGCUCGGUCCCCGGGGGCGUUUGGAGACUGGUGAGGGACAAGCUUAGGAGCACAGAGGGCCACGAUGCCUGGGACCAGUGCUAUAGGGACAGCUCUAUGGCAUGGGGUUUGGAAUCGAAUGCUAUUUCCAGUGUAAUAAUUUUUGAAGCAGAAUCCUUUUUCAGCCAUGUUAAAAGAAAAAGUAAAACAGCUUCCAAAUCUUACAUCACAAUAUAAACAGUGUAGUGGGUUCCAAAAAAUGCAGGUCUUCUGUUGCUCCGGUGCAGAGAAGGCAUCUGUGCUUAGACAUCUGUUUAGAUAUCCACUUAGCAAGCAUUCUGUCAGCCUGUCGGGACCAGCACCACAGCUGAAACACAUGGAGCCCCAGACAUCAGCUGUAAGGGAACCAAAUGGUGCCCUCCCAAAAAUCGCCUUAGAAUUCAAAGUAUCUAAACAGUUUGGCAGGCACAGCCAAUAAUUUACAAGGAAAAUCUACAGCACGCAGACGUACAGAGCCCCUAAAUUCAGCAAGGGCCUAUUCUGAAUUUCAUCGGUACUGAAUUUGAAAUCUUCUCCGUAGAGCAAGACAAUGCAUAAUAAGUAAGCAAAACGUAACGUGUGUUAGGUGCUAGCCAAAUAAUGGUAGGUUACUUAAUUGUAAGAUGACAUCAAUUCAAAACACUCGACAAUACUGCAAAUCUUUGCUUGCUUGACAUUCUUCUAUUGUUGUGAGAAGUUCAAAAAUGGAGAUGCUUUUUUUUUUUAAAGAGGUUCAGAGU
rnacentral:lncRNA from 1 species